GACCCGUCUUGAAACACACGGACCAAGGGAGUUCGUCUUCGUAUGGCCGAGUGUUCGGGUGUUAAACCCCUAACGCCGUAAUGAAAGUGAACGCAGGUGAGAGCCCUCCGGGGCGCAUCAUCGACCGAUCCUGAUGUUCUCGGAUGGAUUUGAGUAAGAGCAUACGGGGCCGGACCCGAAAGAAGGUGAACUAUGCCUGUAUAGGGUGAAGCCAGAGGAAACUCUGGUGGAGGCUCGCAGCGGUUCUGACGUGCAAAUCGAUCGUCAAAUAUGGGCAUGGGGGCGAAAGGACUAAUCGAACCUUCUAGUAGCUGGUUCCUUCCGA
rnacentral:rRNA from 1 species